rnacentral:miRNA from 1 species
UAAAGGAAUACUCCAAGCACCAUAACCACUACAGUGAGCUGUAGUGGUUAUGGUGCCAGGAGUGCCCUGUUA